rnacentral:rRNA from 1 species
UACGUAGGGUGCAAGCGUUGUCCGGAAUUAUUGGGCGUAAAGAGCUCGUAGGCGGCUCGUUGCGUCGGCUGUGAAAACCCGCAGCUCAACUGUGGGCUUGCAGCUGAUACGGGCGGGCUGGGAUUCGGUAGGGGAGACUGGAAUUCCUGGUGUAGCGGUGAAAUGCGCAGAUAUCUGGAGGAACACCGGUGGCGAAGGCGGGUCUCUGGGCCUGUACUGACGCUGAGGAGCGAAAGCGUGGGGAGCGAACAGG